rnacentral:rRNA from 1 species
UACGGGGGGAGCAAGCGUUGUUCGGAUUUACUGGGCGUAAAGGGCGCGUAGGCGGUAGCACAAGUCAGUUGUGAAAUCUCCGGGCUUAACUCGGAAAGGUCAACUGAUACUGUACGACUAGAGUGCAGAAGGGGCAACUGGAAUUCUCGGUGUAGCGGUGAAAUGCGUAGAUAUCGAGAGGAACACCUGCGGCGAAGGCGGGUUGCUGGGCUGACACUGACGCUGAGGCGCGAAAGCCAGGGGAGCGAACGGG